rnacentral:lncRNA from 1 species
CGGGACCAGCGAGUCUUUCCAAAUCCCUCCACCUCUUGUCCCUCAGCCAGGCCCUCUGGCCAAGGGGCUCCUCGCGUUCUCGUUCCGAGUGGAAAGCCACUCUCUAGAACGCUAGAGGCAGGAUGUCCAGAUCAUAAAGCUCAGCAAGCACCCCGAGAAUCAAGACGCUGGAGGUCUGUGUUAGGAAGAAGGUUCGCCAGGAGCUUACCGAAUCCGGAGUUCGCUUGCCGCGGCAGCCAUACUGCAAGAUUCAUCCCGCUUGCCGCAAAGCCUCGACUCCCGGGAAAGAGGAGCUUUGGCAGCUAGGUGCUGGUCUAUGAACAUCGAAAUAGCCUGGAAUCAAACUACUUUCCAGACUUUUCUGAAAAGAGCAGUGCCUUCUGAAUACUAUUUGUGUUACAGUGAGCAAGGCUCACAAAAGUUUAGGAGAGUAGGACUGCCACGACAAAGGAGAACAAGGACUGGGUCACUAGACUGCAAUUUGGCUGUGAUAGAAAUCACCACAGUAGUUUGA